rnacentral:rRNA from 1 species
AUAACUAAAGUCAGUGAGCUAAUUAACCCAAUCACCAACAAAUGGGACGAAGAACUAGUGAGGCAAACUUUUACCCCGGAAGAUACAAAGUGUAUCCUUCAGAUCCCAAUCCAAGAUCAUCUCGAGGACUUCACGGCAUGGCACUAUGAUAAAAAAGCUGAAGAAGAUGGUGGAUUUGACUGGCUUAAACUAUGGACAAUGCCCCUCCCAAACAAAGUGCUCCAUUUUUUAUGGAGGCUAGCAACCAAUAGCUUACCAUUGCGAACAAAGCUACAAAACAGAGGUAUGGAAGUUGACACUCGUUGCCCUAUUUGUUAUAGAUUGGAUGAGGAUGGGGGGCACUGUUUCAUCAAAUGCAAGAAAGUAAGAGAAAUAUGGAGAAUGGCUCAACUCGAGCAUGUUAGGCUGCAGCUAAUCCCCUGUGUUAAUGCUUUAAACUUCAUCGAAGAAAUUAUUAAUUUGAGGGAGGAGAUCAAGUUAAAAACAUGUUUAUUACUUUGGCUUUGGUGGCAUGAA